GAUGAACGCUGGCGGCGUGCCUAAUACAUGCAAGUCGAGCGAACAGACGAGGAGCUUGCUCCUUUGACGUUAGCGGCGGACGGGUGAGUAACACGUAGGUAACCUACCUAUAAGACUGGGAUAACUUCGGGAAACCGGAGCUAAUACCGGAUAAUAUUUCGAACCGCAUGGUUCGAUAGUGAAAGAUGGCUUUGCUAUCACUUAUAGAUGGACCUGCGCCGUAUUAGCUAGUUGGUAAGGUAACGGCUUACCAAGGUAACGAUACGUAGCCGACCUGAGAGGGUGAUCGGCCACACUGGAACUGAGACACGGUCCAGACUCCUACGGGAGGCAGCAGUAGGGAAUCUUCCGCAAUGGGCGAAAGCCUGACGGAGCAACGCCGCGUGAGUGAUGAAGGUCUUCGGAUCGUAAAACUCUGUUAUUAGGGAAGAACAAACGUGUAAGUAACUGUGCACGUCUUGACGGUACCUAAUCAGAAAGCCACGGCUAACUACGCG
rnacentral:rRNA from 1 species